rnacentral:misc_RNA from 1 species
UCACCCCUCAAGCCCCGUGCUUGGUGUUGGACGGCCUGGCUGGGCGUACUGCCCAGCCCCUCCUAAAGACAAUGACGGCGGUCCGUGGAGCCCCCGGUACACUGAGCUUCUUUACCGAGCACGUACUGGAAACAGGGCGCCCGGGCGACGGUCUGAACCCCCUUAUUUCUCAAA